GGGCAUACAGCUCAGCAGCACAGCACCUGCCUAGCAAGCAUGAGGUCCUAAGUUCAAUUCCUAGUACCCA
rnacentral:tRNA from 1 species